AAAGCAUACUUUAAAAAGAUUAUUGAAUCUAAUCAAUAUGUAAUAGUGAAAAAAGAUAUUUUUGUGGGGAAGGGGUAUGUAUGUGAUAUGAUGUUUAAGUUGAAUGUUCAAAUGAAUAAAACUUCUACUUCUGCUUAUAUGUUUUCGUCUACUAAUUUUCUUGGCAUGCUCGUUUGUGUCAUAUUAAUGAUCGUUAUGUUAGAAUCAUGAGUAGUUUAGGUUUAAUCCCAAAGUGUUAGGCUUGUAGUAAAACCAGUAUCACUAAAAGAACUCAUUUUCAAGUUGAAACAAAAACUGAUUUGUAAGAAUUAGUUCAUACUGAUAUUUGUGAACUUGGUGGAAUUCUAACUCGUGGAGGUAAUAGAUAUUUUAUCACUUUUAUUGAUGAUUUUUCUAAGUUAACAUAUGUUUACUUGAUGAAAAAUAAAUGUGAUGCUUUUGCAAAUUUUAAAACUUAUCUCCAUGCUUAUUGAGUCAUAUGUACCUUUAAAUUUUUGGGGUGAAGCUAUCUAAACUUCUUGUUAUGUAUUGAAUCAUGUGCUAAAAAAAAGUCAAAACUAACACCUUUUGAAUUGUGUAAAGGUUACAAGACAUGUUUGAAUAUCUAACAGUUUGGGGUUGUCUAGCCUUUGUGAGGCCAAUGGAUCCCGAGAUUACAAAGUUGGAUCCUCUUACGAAGGCCUUAACAAGAGAAAAGGUCUGAAGCACAUCGAGGGGGAUGAGAUUGAAGUCUACAAAUCCUUGAGUCAUAAAUGACGAAACUCAACCUGGGGACUAGAGAUCCUACAACCAGGUUCAAAGGAAAAAAACUAAUCAUAUGAUGACUUGUUGUGAAAAAUGCAAUAUCAUUUUAUUCCUUCCCUAUGAUGUGGGUGCAUUAUUUCUUGUACUUUGUGAAGGUUGAGUUGAUAGAACUCUUAAUGAAUAUCUUUAUCCCAUAUGGGUGGAGUAUUAAACUUACAGGAGCACUCUCAACAGAUUUCACCUAUGUGAUGUGUGGAAGUAGGUCGCUUCCUAUGAGAAUGUGGCUUAUUCUCAGAUGAACUCAUGAAACUGGGAUAUCACAUGACCAUAACAUGCUGGCUGUUAAAGCUCAAGUCAAUACCUUUAUUAUUAUGUGUGAGCAGUGAUAUUUAAAGUCUGAGACCACUACGACUUUGGAAUAAAAGUUACUGUUUCACUAAGUGAAGAUUCAAUGCAGAUCACAACUUCAUUAUGCAUAGUAGUCUUCCUUUAACUGAUAUACUCUCUUCUCUAAAUAUUAAAAUGAAUGGGGGACUGUUAGUGUAGGGGGGUUUUAAUAUUUAAAAAAAUGUGCAUAUAUAGAUUCUCAUAUUGACCAUUUCUUUGUUUCAUUUACACGUACGCUUGUGGAUAUUCACUGGCAUAAUGUGGGAGUAACGACAUUAAUCUAUUGGAGUUAGUGCCAUAAGCAUUAGUACAUUUCUCAUUGUCAUAUGCAUUUCUGUUAUGCAUUUCUCAAUGUCAUUUGUAUUGCAGUUAUGCGAAAUGCCUUUGAUGGCAUUAGUCGUUGAUGACAUUUGUGCUGACUUCAUUGUCACUCUCAAUUGCUCUAUUAACUUAUGUAACUCCUAAGAUCAUUAUGUACACUAUUUACUACAUCAUAAUUUUUCUAUUCAUUGCUAGGAAGACAUCUCCAACUAUAAAUAGUGGUGGUCUUCAUUUGGUUUGAGAUACACAAUACACAAGAGAAAAAACAUAGAGUGAAAGUAUAGUCUAGAAGAGAGUUCUUAUUAGUUGAAGGGAGGUGUUCUUUUUGUGGAGAUUUGGAGUCAAAUUUUGUCCAGGGUUGUUGAGUUAUAAUUUGUGAAGGCUGUUGUAUCCUGGAGGGGACAAGUCAAAGAGGACUACUGCUUGACCGGUGAAAACAUUUGCUGCAGUGGACUUGAAUCUCCUUAAAGAUAGCAAGAUAUCCGCGCCUCAGUCUUGAAGAUAUUUAUUUUCUUCAUUUUUAUUUUCAAUUGUAAUCUUCUAAUUUUUUUUGUUAUCUAGUAUGUUUUUCACUAACAAAAAGAUUCAACCUUUCGCUUCAAAUACCAAAAUUUUGGUCUUUUCCACAA